rnacentral:rRNA from 1 species
AUUGAACGCUGGCGGCAUGCUUUACACAUGCAAGUCGAACGGCAGCGCCGGCUUCUGCCUUGCUGCGUGUGGCGCACGGGUGAGUAAUACACCGGAACGUUCCCAGUAGUGGGGGAUAGCUCGGCGAAAGCCGGAUUAAUACCGCAUACGACCUGAGGGUGAAAGCUGGGGAUCUUCUGACCUCGCGCUCUUUGAGCGGCCGAUGGCAGAUUUGCUAGUUGGUGGGGUAAAGGCCUACCAAGGCGACCAUCUGUAGCUGGUCUGAGAGGACGACCAGCCACACUGGGACUGAGACACGGACCAGACGACUAAGGGAGGCAGCAGUGGGGAAUUGUGGACAAUGGGCGAAAGCCUGAUCCAGCAAGGCAGCGUGUGAGAUGAAGGCCUUCGGGUAGGAAAGAACGUUUGGCGGGAACGAAAAGGACUGUGCAAAGAACAAGGUACGAUGACGGUACCCGCAGAAUAAGCACCGGCUAACUACGUG